GCGAGCGGAGAGCAGUUCGGCUGCCCCGCGAACGGCUCAGUAACACGUAGUCAACCUACCCUUGGGUCGGGUAUAACCCCGGGAAACUGGGGAUAAUCCCCGAUAGGUGGGGGUACUGGAAAAGUCCCUCUCCUAAAGCUCCGGCGCCCAAGGACGGGACUGCGGCCCAUCAGGUAGUUGGUGGGGUAAAGGCCCACCAAGCCGACAACGGGUACGGGCUGUGAGAGCAGGAGCCCGGAGAUGGAGACUGAGACAAGGCUCCAGGCCCUACGGGGCGCAGCAGGUGCGGAAACUUCGCAAUGCGCGAAAGCGUGACGAGGGGACCCCAAGUGCCGAUGGUCUUUUUGAUCGUCGGCUUUUCAAGAGUUUAAAUCGCUCUUGGAAUAAGAGCUGGGUAAGACUGGUGCCAGCCGCCGCGGUAACACCAGCAGCUCAAGUGGUGGUCACUAUUAUUGGGCCUAAAGCGUCCGUAGCCGGGCCAGUAAGUCCCUUGUGAAAUCGGACGGCUUAACCGUUCGGCUUGCAGGGGAAACUACAGGCCUUGAGGCCGGGAGACGUCGAGGGUACUCCGGGGGUAGCGGUGAAAUGCUGUAAUCCCUGGGGGACCACCAGUGGCGGAGGCGCUCGACGAGAACGGACCUGACGGUGAGGGACGAAGGCUGGGGGAGCGAACCGGAUUAGAUACCCGGGUAGUCCCAGCUGUAAAGUAUGUGGGCCAGGUGUAGGGCGCUCCACGAGGGCGCCC
rnacentral:rRNA from 1 species